rnacentral:rRNA from 1 species
UACGGGGGGGGGCAAGCGUUGUUCGGAAUUACUGGGCGUAAAGGGCUCGUAGGCGGCCAACUAAGUCAGACGUGAAAUCCCUCGGCUUAACCGGGGAACUGCGUCUGAUACUGGAUGGCUGGAGUUUGGGAGAGGGAUGCGGAAUUCCAGGUGUAGCGGUGAAAUGCGUAGAUAUCUGGAGGAACACCGGUGGCGAAGGCGGCAUCCUGGACCAACACUGACGCUGAUGAGCGAAAAGCCAGGGGAGCAAACGGG